GAGACACAGAGAGAGGGAGAAGCAGGUUCCCUGCAGCACUCAAUCCCAGGACCCCAGGAUCAUGACCUGAGCGAAAGGCAGACACUCAACCAAGGAGCUUCCCAGGUGCCCCUGCUGUACUCUUUCUUGAUCACUUACUCAGCUGCCAUGUUGUGAUGACACUCAAACAGAUUGACAUAGAGGUCUAUGUGGCAAGAACCCAGGCCUCCAGCCAACAGAUAUGGAGUGAGCCAUCUUGGAAGCAGAUUUUUCAGCCCCAGAAAUCAAUGAGACAAAACCACACUGGCUGUUCAGGAGCAGAACAGAUUUUCCAAGAGGCAGUAAGGAUGGUGGUUUGGAGACUAUUCCUUGGAGUCACAGAGAGAGAGAGAGAGAGGCAGAGACACAGGCAGAGGGAGAAGCAGGCUCCAUGCACCGGGAGCCCGACGUGGGACUCGAUCCCGGGUCUCCAGGAUCGCGCCCUGGGCCAAAGGCAGGCGCCAAACCGCUGCGCCACCCAGGGAUCCCUAGAAGUGUUAUUCUUCGGAUUAGCAUGAUAAGCUGGAUAAUGGAUCUAAGACAGCCUGCCUCAGCCACCAUCUUGUACACUGGGAUGUAUCCUACAGAUUAUGUUGGACCGUGAUCUGGAUUGAAGCAGGCCUUCCUGAAUUCCUGUGUGGACCUGUGUUGCAGCUGAUCAAAAGAGGCAUGAUUCAUGAUGUUUUAUAAACAGUUGAAAUAGUCCCCAUUCUGGCCAGCAAUAGUUCUCAUGGAGAAAGGCAGUGCAGAGGCACCUGGAUGGUUCAGUUGGUUAAGUGUCCGACUCCUGAUUUUGGCUCAGGUCAUGAUCUCAGGGUUUUGAGGUGUCAGGUCAUGAUCUCAGGGUUUUGAGGUGAAGCUCUGUGUUGGGCUCCAUGCUGAGCGUGGAGCCCGCUUCAGAUUCUCUCUCUCCUCGCUCUACCCCUUCCCACUGUUCGUGCUCUCCUUUUUCUCAUUCUUUCUUAAAACAAAACAAAACAAAACAAAACAAAAAAAAAAAGAAAGGCAAUGUACUCUAUAUGAGUUUGAAUUUUUCCUGUGACCUUGCUGAGGAAGGACAUGAAACAACCUGGAAAGAAAUAUAUUAGAAGAUGGCUGGAGAGUGGAGCCCAGAAAAGAAUACUUCACUGUUUCAUUUCAUAAGAGUAGAAUGAAGUGAAGUGAAGUCACCACCUCGUUCCUCCCCACCACCAGCCUACCUCCCUUUCCAUCUGAGCACCUGGUGCUGGCACACUGCAUUCAAACUCUCCUUUCCUGAGAUUCACCAAUUGUUAUAAUUUCCCCUGUUUGCUUUGUCACUUUUGUGUGUACCCUUACUCACACAUAUUCUUUCUGAGCCAUUCAUUCAAGGGAAUUCUACUGUAAGAAAGAGCUGUCCACUUCCUUUUGUAUAUUUAUUUAUAUCUAUGUGGAUUCAUAGAUUCUUAUUUCUAUUCACUGGAUUGUAAUUCAUUACUAUCAUUAUCUAUUUUGAUGUCUCAAAUAUCCCAGAUUUGGUUAGUGAGAUGUUAUAGACUUUUAUCCCCAAAUAUUUCAGUUUGACUUGUCAGGAACAAAGUAAUUCUCUUAUAAAAUGAUAGCACAGUCAUCAAAAUCAGAACACUUAACACUCGUAUGCUAUUUUUUAAAAAGAUUUUAUUUAUUUAUUUGACACACACACACACACACACACACACACAGAGCUCAAGCAGGGGAAAUGGGAGGCAGAGGGAGAGGGAGAAGCAGAUUUCCUGCCAAGUGGGGAGCCUGAUGGGAGGCUCAAUCCCAGGCCCUGGGGUCCAUGACUGGAGCUGAAGGCAGAUGCUUACCUGACUGAGCCACCCAGGUACUUCAACAUUCGUACACAACUACUGUCUAAUUGAUAGUCUAUAUUGAAAUUUGUCAAUUGUCCUAAUAGUAUCCUUUAUAGCUAUACGCAUCCCCACCUUACCCAGAUCCAAACCAGGAUCACACAUUGCAUUGAGUUAUCAUGUCUUUUUAGUCUCUUUUUAUCUGGAAGAGUUCCUUAAUCUUUAUUUGUCAUUAAUGACAUUGACAUAUUUAGAAGAGUAGAGUCAGUUAUUUUAUAGAAAGACCUUCAAUUUGAGUUUAGUUGAUAUUACCUUAUGAUGAGAUUCAGAUUGUGUAUUUUCAGUAGGAAUGUUACAGAUGUAAUAUUGUAUUCUUCUUCACAGAGUAUCAUGGCAGAAGGCAUAUGGUUGAAAUUGGUGUCUUCCAGAUUUCUCCACUAUAAAAUUAGUAUUUUUGCCCUUUGAAAUUAAGAAGUGAUUUGUAGAGAGAUAUUUUUAGGCUAUGUAUAUAUCCUACUCUCCUCAAAAUUUACCCAGUAGUUUUAUAUAUGUUAAUAGUUCUUGCCAGAAUCAAUUAUUAUUAUGAUAGCUGCAAAAUGGUGAUUUUCUACCUCCAUCAUUCUUUCCAUAUUUAUUAGUUGGCAUUCUACUGUAAGGAAGAAUUUUCCAUCAUGUAUGCAGGUAUUUGCUUGUUCCUACAUGGAUUUAUAGGUUCUUUUACUCAAUGGUGUAUAAUUUAUUACUAUCAUUAUUUAUUUUGAUAGUCAAAAUGUCCCAGAUUUGGCCAGUGGGAACUCCUCCAAACUGGGUUCACUGUUCUUUUGCUAUAUCUGCAUCAUUAUUUGUGCUUUCUUUUGGACACAGAAAGAUAUUUCAGGUUUAUCUUGUACUUUCCUUGCCUCAGCCCUAGAAGCAGUCAUUUCUCCAAGAAGUCCUGGUUCUUUUUAAUGGAGAAUGGUAUUUAGAAAUCUAGCUUGGGCAGCAGAUAUGCUCACUGUUACUGGGGUUUUAUUGCUUUAUCAGCAGACAGAGCUGUGAAAUAAAUACAUUUGUGUGA